GAUGAACGCUGGCGGCGUGCCUAAUACAUGCAAGUCGAGCGAACAGACGAGGAGCUUGCUCCUCUGACGUUAGCGGCGGACGGGUGAGUAACACGUGGAUAACCUACCUAUAAGACUGGGAUAACUUCGGGAAACCGGAGCUAAUACCGGAUAAUAUAUUGAACCGCAUGGUUCAAUAGUGAAAGACGGUUUUGCUGUCACUUAUAGAUGGAUCCGCGCCGCAUUAGCUAGUUGGUAAGGUAACGGCUUACCAAGGCAACGAUGCGUAGCCGACCUGAGAGGGUGAUUGGCCACACUGGAACUGAGACACGGUCCAGACUCCUACGGGAGGCAGCAGUAGGGAAUCUUCCGCAAUGGGCGAAAGCCUGACGGAGCAACGCCGCGUGAGUGAUGAAGGUCUUCGGAUCGUAAAACUCUGUUAUUAGGGAAGAACAAAUGUGUAAGUAACUAUGCACGUCUUGACGGUACCUAAUCAGAAAGCCACGGCUAACUACGUG
rnacentral:rRNA from 1 species